rnacentral:rRNA from 1 species
CUGUGACUCUGGGUUUAACGGCCGCGGUAUUUUGACCGUGCAAAGGUAGCGCAAUCACUUGUCUUUUAAAUGAAGACCUGUAUGAAUGGCACGACGAGGGCCCAACUGUCUCCUCUCCCCAGUCAGUGAAAUUGAUCUUCCCGUGCAGAAGCGGGGAUACCCCCAUAAGACGAGAAGACCCUAUGGAGCUUUAGACACUAGGGAGCCCACAUCAAACAACCCUUCACCAACAGGCAGAACUUAGUGGCCCCUCCCCUACUUGUCUUUGGUUGGGGCGACCACGGAGGAAAAAGCAGCCUCCUUGAGGACCGGGGGCACUGCCCCCACAGCCAAGAUCUACUGCUCUAAGCAACAGAACAUCUGACCACCACGAUCCGGUAUUCACCGAUCAACGGACCGAGUUACCCUAGGGAUAACAGCGCAAUCCUCUCCCAGAGUCCCUAUCGACGAGGGGGUUUACGACCUCGAUGUUGGAUCAGGACAUCCUAACGGUGCAGCCGCUAUUAAGGGUUCGUUUGUUC